rnacentral:rRNA from 1 species
CCGGAUUUAUUGGGUUUAAAGGGUGCGCAGGCGGUCUGCAAGUCAAGCGGUCAAAGCCCGGGGCUCAACCCCGUCCUGCCGUUGAAACUGGCAGUCUCGAGUUGGAGAGAAGUAUGCGGAAUGCGCGGUGUAGCGGUGAAAUGCAUAGAUAUCGCGCAGAACUCCGAUUGCGAAGGCAGCAUGCCGGCUCCACACUGACGCUGAGGCACGAAAGCGUGGGUAUGAACAGGAUUAGAUACCCUGGUAGUCCACGCAGUAAACGAUGAAUGCUGGCUGUCCGGGGGGACUGACCCCUGGGUGGCGAAGCGAAAGCGAUAAGCAUUCCACCUGGGGAGUACGCCGGCAACGGUGAAACUCAAAGGAAUUGACGGGGGCCCGCACAAGCGGAGGAACAUGUGGUUUAAUUCGAUGAUACGCGAGGAACCUUACCCGGGCUCAAACGGGGAGUGGCGCAGGCAGAGACGCCUGUUUCCCACGGGACACUCCCCGAGGUGCUGCAUGGUUGUCGUCAGCUCGUGCCGUGAGGUGUCGGCUUAAGUGCCAUAACGAGCGCAACCCCCGCGUGCAGUUGCUAACAGAUAACGCUGAGGACUCUGCACGGACUGCCGGCGCAAGCCGCGAGGAAGGCGGGGAUGACGUCAAAUCAGCACGGCCCUUACGUCCGGGGCGACACACGUGUUACAAUGGGUGGUACAGCGGGAAGCCAGGCGGCGACGCCGAGCGGAACCCGAAAUCCACUCUCAGUUCGGAUCGGAGUCUGCAACCCGACUCCGUGAAGCUGGAUUCGCUAGUAAUCGCGCAUCAGCCAUGGCGCGGUGAAUACGUUCCCGGGCCUUGUACACACCGCCCGUCAAGCCAUGGGAGCCGAGGGCGCUUGAAGUGCGUCGCCGCGAGGCGCGCCCUAGAGCGAAAUCGGUGACUGGGGCUAAGUCGUAACAAGGUAGCCGUACCGGAAGGUGCGGCUG